GCCGGGUGCGGUGGCAUGUGCCUGUAAUCCAAGUCACUGGGAGGCUUGAGGUUGGUGGAUCAAGUGAGCUGAGGAGCUCUGGGCAUGCAGCACACUAUGUGGAACGGGUGUUCCACGCUAGUUCGGUAUCGAUAUGGUGUUCCUGGGGGAGCCCGGGACCACCAGGUUGUCUAAGGAGGGGUGAACCGGCCCAGGUCGGAAACGAAGCAGGUCAAAUCCCCCGUGCUGUCCAGUAGUGGGAUAAUACCUGUGAGUAGAUGCUGCAGUGCAGCCUUGGCGAAACAUCGAGACCUAAUCUUUC
rnacentral:SRP_RNA from 1 species